rnacentral:rRNA from 1 species
UACGUAGGGUGCAAGCGUUAAUCGGAAUUACUGGGCGUAAAGCGUGCGCAGGCGGUUAUGUAAGACAGAUGUGAAAUCCCCGGGCUCAACCUGGGAACUGCAUUUGUGACUGCAUAGCUGGAGUACGGUAGAGGGGGAUGGAAUUCCGCGUGUAGCAGUGAAAUGCGUAGAUAUGCGGAGGAACACCGAUGGCGAAGGCAAUCCCCUGGGCCUGCACUGACGCUCAUGCACGAAAGCGUGGGGAGCAAACAGG